rnacentral:rRNA from 1 species
UUGAGCGGAGAUAUAUGGAGCUUGCUUUAUAUAACUUAGCAGCGAACGGGUGAGUAACACGUAGAUAAUCUAUCCUAUACUGGGGGAUAGCCCGAUGAAAGUUGGAUUAAUACCGCAUAUAGCUAUAUAGUUGCAUGAUUAUGUAGUGAAAGAUUUAUUGGUAUAGGAGGAGUCUGCGGCACAUUAGCUAGUAGGUGAGGUAAAGGCUUACCUAGGCGACGAUGUGUAGCCGGUCUGAGAGGAUGAACGGCCACAAUGGAACUGAGACACGGUCCAUACUCCUACGGGAGGCAGCAGUGGGGAAUAUUGCACAAUGGGGGAAACCCUGAUGCAGCAACGCCGCGUGAGUGAAGAAGGUUUUCGGAUUGUAAAGCUCUGCUAGCAGGGAAGAGGAAGGACGGUACCUGCAGAGGAAGCCACGGCUAACUACGUCCCAGCAGCCGCGGUAAUACGUAGGUGGCAAGCGUUGUUCGGAAUAACUGGGCGUAAAGGAUGCGUAGGCGGUUAAACAAGUUAUAUGUUAAAUAUAUAGGCUUAACCUGUAGAAAGCAUAUAAAACUGUUUAACUAGAGUGCAGGAGAGGUAAGUGGAAUUCCUAGUGUAGCGGUGAAAUGCGUAGAGAUUAGGAAGAACACCAGUGGCGAAGGCGACUUACUGGACUGUAACUGACGCUGAGGCAUGAGAGCAUGGGGAGCAAACAGGAUUAGAUACCCUGGUAGUCCAUGCUGUAAACGAUGGGUACUAGGUGUGGGUUGUGAAUAACAAUUCGUGCCGUCG